CCUGCGUGGAUGCUGACUUGCGGCUGAGGGGGCGCGGCCUUCGCUUCCUGCUGCGAUGACGUCGACGUGCACCGUCUGGUUGUCACCUUCCUCGCAUCUGCUUCUACUUCGUCACGGGAACACUCGCUAAUUCGCAGCGUGGGCGGAGAUCGGCACCUGGCGGCCCCUGUCGGGCUCACUCACUUGGACCCUGUCCCGGGAAAAACCCCAAAACCUUAAGUAUCCUAUCUUUGGGGGGUGUACAUUGAUUGAUCGUAAUUUGCACAGCGGUAAAGCGUUGGCCUCACAGUUCUGAGGACCCAGGUUCAAUCCCGGCCCCUACCUGUGUGGAGUUCUCCACGUGCCUGCGUGGGUUUUGUCCGGCCUCUCCGGUUUCCUCCCACCCCCCAAAAACAUGCAACGUUAAUUAGGCAAUACAAAUUGCCCCGAGGUGUGAUUGUGAGUGUGAUCGGUUGGUUGUUUCUAUGUGGCCUGCGAUUGGCUGGCAACCAUUUCAGGGUCUCCGCCCCCCUCCUGCCCGGAGAUAACUGGGAUAGGCUCCGGCACCCCCGCAACCCUCGUGAGGAUGAGCAAAUCCGAAAAUGGAUGGAGGGAUAAAGCAUACCAAUUAUACCCAAAGUCAUUUUGGACGACUUCAUAAACAGAACGACUGUCCAGUGCGACGCCAAAAUGAGAAUCGGACAAAAGCCGAAGUUGAGGAUGAGCAGCCGAAUGCAGACAGGAGCAGGGACAGGGAUGAGGCGGCAAUUCGCACGACUCCCAAGAUUCCGACAAAUAGAUGAUCUAUUUGUUGACAUUUUUUUCAACUUCACUGCCACCAGGUGCCAGGAAAUUAGCCGUUUAUACCUUUUUGAGGCCGAUUUCAAAAAGAGCCCCGACGAUGUCAUCGGCUGAAGGAAGGAAAUGAGGUCACAGGUGGUGGGCGUGGCCGGUCAGAGUGGAGGUUUGUGUCACAGUGUGUGUUGUUGUGUGGCUGCCGCUGUGGGCUACAAGAUUGUCUUCGGGGGUGGGACGAGCUUGACGGUGGAAAACGGGGAAGAUUUUGAGCCGUCCUUCUACAAACUUGAGGCUGGCAACCUGAAGGCGUGCCUCGCCGCCGGCUUCAGUCGGCGCAACGCCGCGGCGAUCGCGGGGAGAGGGAGGAUGUUCGAGGACUCGCAGGCCGCGCGGGUAUCGGGCGAUUCGAUAUACAACCAGGUGGCGCUGCCGUCGGCCGGACACAACGACACGUGCGAGGAAGGUGAGGACCGUCGGCCUCGGCCUCAAAAUUCACGGAUCGACGCGCCUCACGUCGCUUCCUGUCUUGCCACCGCAGGUGAGAGCGGAGCGGGGCGGUGCCCGGACGCUUUGGUGCCAGACGAGGCGGUGAACCUGCUCUCCGUCACCGUGCUCGUCCUCCGCCUCAUCUUCGCCAAGACGCUCGCCGUCAACUGCGUCAUUACACUGCGUCUGUGCUUCGGCGGACCUCAGUAGCCGAUGCCGCACCGCCGCCGAC